UACGUAGGGUGCAAGCGUUAAUCGGAAUUACUGGGCGUAAAGCGCGCGCAGGCGGUUCCUUAAGUCUGAUGUGAAAGCCCACGGCUCAACCGUGGAGGGUCAUUGGAAACUGGAGAACUUGAGUACAGAAGAGGAAAGCGGAAUUCCACGUGUAGCGGUGAAAUGCGUAGAGAUGUGGAGGAACACCAGUGGCGAAGGCGGCUUUCUGGUCUGUAACUGACGCUGAGGCGCGAAAGCGUGGGGAGCAAACAGG
rnacentral:rRNA from 1 species